UGUGGUUAUUAACCACUCAUAAUAAAUCAUAUAUCCACCAUUCCAAAACCUGUGCCAAUUUUUUUAACUCACAAAUAGCGUGUACCAGUGAUACUACUGCCACUUAAAAAUCAGAGUUGUUACGACGAGCUAAAAUUAAUGAAAACAGCAAACACCAAUAUGUUUUUUUUUUCGAUCAUCUAAUAAUUUUAUUGAGAAGAACAAGGAACUUACGAGAACAUUACAUAGCCAGAAAAAAUACCAAUAUGUUUAGAACCACAACAAUUCCAAUAUCUUAUAUUUCAUUUAUUUACUUUUGCAUUUGGUGACAGUCAUUAAGAAUUAAUUUAAUCAUUUAUCCAGUAUAAAAUUGAUCAUGGCACACACACACACGUAUAUAUAUGUGAGAUAUUAAAAGCAAACUGAAAAAUGUUUUUUUAAAAGAAAGUGA
rnacentral:lncRNA from 1 species